ensembl:lncRNA
GGAGGAGGAGUUGGUCCUGCUCUUGUCCACUCUGGCGCGGUGCUCUCACCUGGAUGCCCUACCAGCUCUGGCCUCUGACGGUGUGGCACUGCUCCGUGACAAACUCUCUCACGGAUCGGCUCAUGUGCGCAGAGAAGCGGCGGCAGCCAUGUUGGCUCUUAGUAUUCCUCUGGAGGGGAAGCGGCAGAUCUGUGCCCUAGGUGUGCUCUCUGACCUUUUGACCCUACUCCGUGACCCUGACACCGAGGUCAGAGCCAACGCGGCUGGAGUGUGUAUGAACACGUUUGUCAUCACCGCAGGUAAAGUCCAGGGUCUGGAGCUGGGUCUGAUCCCAGUCUUGUUGGACCUGGUCUCGCCCCUGGAUCUGCAGCAGACUCAGAUCCCAGAGCAGACCUUGGACCUGAAGCAGACCAUGGAGUGGACUUGGGGCCCAGAGCAGACCCUGCAGCAGGAACAGACCCUGGACUUGGAUCAGACCAUGGAGCAGGAGCAGACCCUGGGACAGACU